rnacentral:rRNA from 1 species
AUCGGGAAUCUUGCACAAUGGACGAAAGUCUGAUGCAGCGACGCCGCGUGGAGGAUGAAGGCCUUCGGGUUGUAAACUCCUUUUAUAUGGUAGCAAAAUAUGAGCACCAUACGAAUAAGGGACUCCUAACUUCGUGCCAGCAGGAGCGGUGAUACGAAGGUCCCAAGCGUUACCCGGAUUUACUGGGCGUAAAGAGAUGCGUAGGUGUCUUGUUAAGUUAAUUGGUAAAGCCCGCAGCUCAACUGCGGAAUCUCAAUUAAUACUGGCAGGAUUGAGACAAACAGAGGGAGGAGGAACUUCCAGUGGAGCAGUAAAAUGCGUUGAUAUUGGAAGGAACACCAGAGGCGAAGGCGUCCUCCUGGGUUUGUUCUGACACUAAGGCUCGAAAGCGUGGGGAGCAAAACGGAUUAGAAACCCCAGUAGUCC